UACGAAGGGUGCAAGCGUUACUCGGAAUUACUGGGCGUAAAGCGUGCGUAGGUGGUUCGUUAAGUCUGCCGUGAAAGCCCCGGGCUCAACCUGGGAAUGGCGGUGGAUACUGGCGGACUAGAGUGCGGUAGAGGGUGGUGGAAUUCCCGGUGUAGCAGUGAAAUGCGUAGAGAUCGGGAGGAACAUCAGUGGCGAAGGCGGCCCUCUGGACCAGUACUGACGCUGAGGCACGAAAGCGUGGGGAGCAAACAGG
rnacentral:rRNA from 1 species